UCAGUGAAUGAAGACGCGCUCUGAACAC
rnacentral:sRNA from 1 species